GUGCUCACUUCAGCAGCACAUAUACUAAAAUUGGAACAAUACAGAGAAGAUUUGCAUGGCCCCUGCACAAGAAUGACAUGCAAAUUCGUGAAGCAUUUCAUAUUUUU
ensembl:snRNA U6 U6 spliceosomal RNA